ACAGGUUUAUGACCGGCGUUUUCACGCUCUAUACGCUCCAGGACUCCCACCAGCUGAACAGCAACUGUACACUGUUGGAUUUAGCCAAAUCAUGGGCUGCAACACAAGCAGAGGCACCACAGUGGUGGACCCGUCCGAAAACCCAGAGGAAAGGCCGAAGACAGCCACUUCCACCAAGGAGGUAUCUGCAGAGGAAACGAACGGAACAACAGAGAAAGAAGAGGAAGAAAAAACAGAGAGUUCCAGCUGAGCAACUCCUCUCACCUAAAAAGUGUGUACAGAUUGGCCUGUCCGAGGGUGAAGGAGGGCCUGUCAGCAGGAGGAGGCGACACUGCACUACUGUCCAUCAACCUCCGGUGUCAUCUGGGCCAGCCACACACACUGGAAAACGCACACUUUCGAAGAAAUCCAUCUCUUCUGUUCGGAUUUCAGAAACUAUUUUGUGAUAAAUAAACCGAUUUGAAUCCUGA